rnacentral:rRNA from 1 species
CCUACGGGAGGCAGCAGUGGGGGAUAUUGCACAAUGGGGGAAACCCUGAUGCAGCGACGCCGCGUGAGUGAAGAAGUAUUUCGGUAUGUAAAGCUCUAUCAGCAGGGAAGAAAAUGACAGUACCUGACCAAGAAGCCCCGGCUAACUACGUCCCAGCAGCCGCGGUCAUACGUAGGGGGCAAGCGUUAUCCGGAUUUACGGGGUGUAAAGGGAGCGUAGACGGUUAUGUAAGUCUGGAGUGAAAGCCGGGGGCCCAACCCCGGGACUGCGUUGGAAACUGUGGGACUGGAGUACAGGAGGGGCAGGCGGAAUGCCUGGUGUAGCGGUGAAAUGCGUAGAUAUCAGGAGGAACACCGGUGGCGAAGGCGGGCUGCUGGACUGAAACUGACGUUGAGGCACGAAAGCGUGGGGAGCAAACAGGAUUAGAUACCCGAGUAGUC